rnacentral:rRNA from 1 species
UACGUAGGGGGCAAGCGUUGUCCGGAAUCAUUGGGCGUAAAGCGUGCGCCGGCUGCUUUGCAAGACAGAUGUGAAAUCCCCGGGCUUAACCUGGGAACUGCAUUUGUGACUGCAUGGCUGGAGUGCGGGAGAGGGGGAUGGAAUUCCGCGUGUAGCAGUGAAAUGCGUAGAUAUGCGGAGGAACACCGAUGGCGAAGGCAAUCCACUGGGCCUGCACUGACGCUCAUGCACGAAAGCGUGGGGAGCAAACAGG